AGGGAUGAGUGGAUAACGUAUUUCUAUAAAAAAAAAUUUGUAUUUUUAUGUUAGUUCAUGCACAUAAUUUAAACUAUUCACACGUAAAAAAAAAAAAAUCUAAACAUGUUUUAGUUCAUUAACCUUCAAGUAGUCUAAUUUAUGAUUUAUGAACUUAAUUUAUAGUCCUUUAGAGUUGAUUUGUUGAAAUUGUUUUUAUUAUAACCAGUAGGGGUCUCCUUUGAGCCUAAAUAAAGUUACUGAUCACGUGGAGUGAAACAGUCUUUAUAAAACAGAGCAUUGAGUUUGUGUUCGUUUAAAGUGGUUCAUUCUACACAUCCUGUUCAGACCUCACACACACUGCUGUUCAUUCAUGUCAUUCCUCCAGCACUGAAGCAUCAACAUGAUAUUUAUAGUGUGCUUCAUUUAUUUAGCAGCACCUCCAUUCUGGGUCUCAGGAGAAUCACUAAGUGAUCAAGUUCAUCAGAAUCCACCUCAUCUGAUAACAAAUGCUGAAAAAACAGUUCAGCUCAGCUGUUCUCACACCAUUAAUGGAUAUAGAAUGAUAUUAUGGUAUCAGCAGCUGAAGGGUGAUAGUGCUCUAAAUCUUAUUGGAAAUGUGUAUUACAAAGAUCCAACCACUGAAAACCAAUAUAAAAAUCAGUUUACCAUCGGAGGAAAUGGUGCAGAAUCCUCUACUCUUAAUGUAACAUUAGAAAGAGAACAUGUUGGGAGUACUGCAGUAUAUUACUGUGCUGCCAGUAGAGCACAGUGUGGAAGAUCCUUUAAUCACUCUUACAAAAACCUUCGGUUAAACCCUGUCACCACAACAUUAUUAGCACCUGAAUGCAAAAAUUACUGUUUUUGCUCUGUUCAGGACAAUGCAACCUGUUAAUGGAAACCGACAUGCAUUAAUUUCUGCUUUUCUUAGAUUUUAACAAAAUAACCCACUCUUCAAUCAGGUUUUUUUUUUUUUUUUUUUGAAGGAGGGACUAAUCUAUUCCAGCAUUAUGUCCAUUCCACUAGAUGUCCUCACAUGCAACUAUAGCUGCUGAAGUUUUAUUACAUCACUUAUAACAAACAAAAAAUGUUUGGUUUGCUAAUUUUGCUCUUUCUUCUUCCAUUAGGUAAACAAAAAUAACUUACUUAAAUUGAUCUUUUCAGAGUCAUUGACACAAACUAUUUUUGAUUAAAAUUCCUUCCUUCUGUUCUCAUCUUCUUUUACAGAUUUGGGAUUAGAGCAAUCACCUCAUCUCUUUGUAACUGAGGAUCUCAAUGUGACCCUAAAGUGUUCGCAGAUUGGAACAUCACAUAACAGCAUGUACUGGUUCAGAAAAACACCCACUGAACGAUUGGAGCAGAUAGUGCAUUUCUAUAUUAAAACAGAAAACUGGGAGAAGGAUUUUAAGCAGAGAGCAUCAGCUGUGAGGAACGGGGCAUCUUUAGACCUGACUCUUGCCAAAGUACAGCACUCUGACAGUGGUGUUUAUUACUGUGCAAAGCAGGAUGCACAUCAGUGUAACCCAAUCUAUAGCCUCAACAAAAACAUGCAGAUUCACAUCUAACACCUGUUCAUCUGAAGUCACUGAAUGAAAUUCUACAUUACAUAGGGAUGAGUGGUUAAUGUAUUUCUAUACAUUUAUUUUGCAUUAUUAUGCUAGUUUACACACAUCAUUUAAACUUUUCC
ensembl:lncRNA